rnacentral:SRP_RNA from 1 species
CCGUGCUAGGCGGGGAGGUAGCGGUGCCCUGUCACCCGCAAUCCGCUCUAGCGGGGCCGAAUUCCCGUCCGAGGGGUGCGGCUCCCGGGUUCGGUCGCGCCGCCGGAAGGCGUCGAUGGCCGGGUCCCGCGCGGUCGGCGCCCGCGAACCAGGUCAGGUCCGGGAGGAAGCAGCCUUAAGCGGUAGCGCCUUCGCGCCGCGGACAAGCCUGGCCGGAGUCGGACGACGGUGUCGGCCUCUGGGGGCGGCUUCGAAGGCGGGUGCACGG